rnacentral:piRNA from 1 species
UCCCAGGGACAGCCUGUCUCUCCCACU